GGGGUUAGGGGUAGGAGGCUCUGAAUACCAGACGGGGUGAGGGGGUAGGAGGCUCUGAAUACCAGAUGGGGUUAGGGGGUAGGAGGCUCUGAAUACCAGACGGGGUUAGGGGGUAGGAGGCUCUGAAUACCAGACGGGGUGAGGGGGUAGGAGGCUCUGAAUACCAGACGGGGUAGGAGGCUCUGAAUACCAGACGGGGUGAGGGGGUAGGAGGCUCUGAAUACCAGACGGGGUUAGGGGGCUCUGAAUACCAGACGGGGUUAGGGGGUAGGAGGCUCUGAAUACCAGAUGGGGUUAGGGGGUAGGAGGCUCUGAAUACCAGACGGGGUUAGGGGGUAGGAGGCUCUGAAUGCCAGACGGGGUUAGGGGGUAGGAGGCUCUGAAUACCAGACGGGGUUAGGGGGUAGGAGGCUCUGAAUAUCAGACGGGGUUAGGGGGUAGGAGGCUCUGAAUACCAGACGGGGUUAGGGGGUAGGAGGCUCUGAAUACCAGACGGGGUUAGGGG
ensembl:lncRNA